rnacentral:rRNA from 1 species
UAUGUCUGGGAACUGCCUGAUGGAGGGGGAUAACUACUGGAAACGGUAGCUAAUACCGCAUAACGUCGCAAGACCAAAGAGGGGGACCUUCGGGCCUCUUGCCAUCGGAUGUGCCCAGAUGGGAUUAGCUAGUAGGUGGGGUAACGGCUCACCUAGGCGACGAUCCCUAGCUGGUCUGAGAGGAUGACCAGCCACACUGGAACUGAGACACGGUCCAGACUCCUACGGGAGGCAGCAGUGGGGAAUAUUGCACAAUGGGCGCAAGCCUGAUGCAGCCAUGCCGCGUGUAUGAAGAAGGCCUUCGGGUUGUAAAGUACUUUCAGCGGGGAGGAAGGGAGUAAAGUUAAUACCUUUGCUCAUUGACGUUACCCGCAGAAGAAGCACCGGCUAACUCCGUGCCAGCAGCCGCGGUAAUACGGAGGGUGCAAGCGUUAAUCGGAAUUACUGGGCGUAAAGCGCA